UAGAGUUUGAUCAUGGCUCAGAACGAACGCUGGCGGCGUGCUUAGCACAUGCAAGUGGAGCGACGAACCCGAGCUUGCUCGGGGGCAAAGCCGCGAACGGGUGAGUAGCACGUGGGUAAUCUGCCCUGAUGAUUGGGACAACCCCGGGAAACCGGGGCUAAUACCAAAUGUGCUCUUUCUACAUCAGUAGAUCGAGGAAAGGAGGCUUCGGCUUCCGCAUCGGGAUGAGCCCGCGGCCCAUUAGCUUGUUGGUGGGGUAAUGGCCUACCAAGGCUUCGAUGGGUAGCUGGUCUGAGAGGACGAUCAGCCACACUGGGACUGAGACACGGCCCAGACUCCUACGGGAGGCAGCAGUGGGGAAUCUUGCGCAAUGCGCGAAAGCGUGACGCAGCAACGCCGCGUGAGGGAAGACGGCCUUCGGGUUGUAAACCUCUUUCAGUUGGGACGAAGCCUCUGCGGUUAAUACCCGUAUGAGGUGACGGUACCUUCAGAAGAAGCCCCGGCUAACUACGUGCCAGCCGCCGCGGUAAUAC
rnacentral:rRNA from 1 species